rnacentral:rRNA from 1 species
UACGUAGGGAGCAAGCGUUGUCCGGAUUUAUUGGGCGUAAAGAGCUCGUAGGCGGCUUAGCAAGUCGGGUGUGAAACCUCCAGGCUCAACCUGGAGACGCCACUCGAUACUGCUAUGGCUUGAGUUCGGUAGGGGACCUGGAAUUCCUGGUGUAGCGGUGGAAAUGCGCAGAUAUCAGGAGGAACACCGACGGCGAAGGCAGCUUACUGGGCCGAUACUGACGCUGAGGAGCGAAAGCGUGGGGAGCGAACAGG